rnacentral:misc_RNA from 1 species
UUGUGGAGGAGGACGCCGAAGGUGGGGCUAAUGACUGGGGUGAAGUCGUAACAAGGUAGCCGUACCGGAAGGUGCGGCUGGAUCACCUCCUAACAGGGAGACAACAAAAUGUUUAAUAUUAUUAUUUUGUCACCUUAGGUCGAUCGGUAUCUCACGUUCUUAAUUAAUUAAGAAUUUCAUUUCCUAAGUUUUUCUAGGUCACACCCAUUAUUUUUCCUGGGCCAUUAGCUCAGGUGGUUAGAGCGCACCCCUGAUAAGGGUGAGGUCCCUGGUUCAAGUCCAGGACGGCCCAUAUCUCUAUGUUGGGGGUAUAGCUCAGUUGGUAGAGCGCCUGCUUUGCAAGCAGGAUGUCAGCGGUUCGAGUCCGCUUACCUCCACUGAUUACCACCUCUUCCAUAAUCUGUAGAAAGGAAAUUUUUUGAGUUGUGAUCAUACUUCUGAACGAAUCUAGCUUCCUAAUUAAAUCAUUAAGAUGCUGGACUCAUUGAAUUAAUUUCAUUGUUUUCAGAGAACCUUGACAACUGCAUAGAUUAUUUUUAAAGACAAUAAGCAUCUUUAUGAUGCAGAUUUAUUAUUUGUGCGAAUGCAUUAAUAACAAUUCUAUUAAGCUGAUGCUUCAAUUUUGAAGUUAUUGGUCAAGCUACAA